GCCCUUGUCGUUACUUGUAUAUUCCUUCAGUUAUGUGUUGUCUGCUAAUGAUUUGCUUGGAUAAAAUAAUCAGUAGAGCUAAAGGUCCAAGCACAAAUUAGACAGAGAACAAAUAAUGACAAAGGAAAGGAGUACGACAAUGGAGAUAAUCUUUCCAUGAACAAGACUCGUUACUUGCCAGGCAAGGAAAGUUUCCACAAGAUGUUAUGGCUUCAACAUGCUUCAACACUAUAGGACACAUCUUGAGCAAGGUUAAGGAAUCUUCCCCAAUUCCUACAAGAGAAGAUUCUAGACCUAUGAACAUGCACACUGAGCAAAAAUGUUGCAAGCUCCUACAACUAGUACUGCACACUUCAAACUGCUGGAAGAGUAGUGAACACGGGUGACACCAUCUCAAGAUGUGCAACUAUCACGGUCUCCAUCUUUGUGGCCAGGUAAAGCACCUAAAGAAUUAACAUGGUAAGAGGUCUGGUUCAGAGGACCUAAAACAACGAAUACCAUACCAAGAGGUAAAUUGGUAGUUAUCAAUAUUUUCUUUUUAGCAUUGCAUAAUUUUCCUUCAGCAUAUUUACUUUCCCUUAAAUGCAUGAUUAGUUGCACAUCCACAUUAUCAUUUUUGUAUUAGAAAAAGAAAAUAAAAAUAUGUCAUGCAUUGCAUCUAGAAAAUGCCAAGCCCCAUGUGAAUAAUUAUGUGGUGCGACAACCCACAAAGAUAUCUAUGGUGGUAGCCUAAAAAUAAGUUUUCAUCUUAGUGCAUUUUCAGCAUACCAUGAAAUAUAAAAGAUCAAAAGUAUUAAAGUUCCUGCUAAAAGAUAAAUAUAUUAAGAAGGUUCUAGACAACCAAGGCUUAGAGGUUAUACCACUAACACUAAAUUAGUUCCACAAGCUUUGCUGUCUAUUUGAGCUUCACAUAAUUUGAAGGAUCAAGAACAGCUAAGAGGCAGAAGGACAUUCUAUCCCCUAUCAGAGUGCUGUCUCAAACAACCAUCAUCCCUAAGACUCCAGAGGACCAGUACACCUUCACUGCAACUCAGCAACGCCAACGGACUUUGUCAACAUCCACUUGGGGGAGAGCACCCCCCAUAUCCAGGUAAGUACUACUAGCUUUUUUUUUAUUUAGUGUGCUAUGUUCAUCCGAAACAAAUAAAAAGAUGCAUAAACAUAGAAAACCCAAAUAAAUAUUUCCUUAUCUAUAUUUACCUUAUUGGUUGAUAUUAAAUUUGCUAAAUAAAAUUUAGGAGAGUAUUUGAAGAAGUUGCCUAGUAAAAUAAACCUUACAGAGUAAGCCCAUAUAUGGAAAUGAUGAAUAGUAGCUCUACCGUAAUUCCUUUCAAGUACCUAGUUUUCAACCUCGAACUAUCCCAAGUACGCUCGAACUUAUCUAUAUUUACAACUGUUUUGAUUUGAGGUCUGCUCUGAACCUGAAACUUGUGGGUAGCAAAUGCUUGAUCUAAGUCUAGGUAGUUGACAGAUAUGAUAUAGGGAGGUUUUGAGUUGCCGUCCAUCUUGUUCCUAGAGAUACUAGCGUUCUAGAGAAUUUACCUUUGAAAAUCUUGAAUCACUACAUGAUGAGUUUUUGUAUGAUGAGAGUUCAAUAUUCGUAGCACAUCCAAAUAUACAUGCUUACUAGAUUAGGAAAGCCAUCCACUUCCAUAUAUGCUUGUAGGCAUUGCGGAAGUUAAGCUGUGUUGACCCAAAGGAAUAAGUCAUGCAGUUAAUGUCAAUAUUGUGUGCUCUCCAUCCAUUGAUCUAUGCUGCUUCUAUCCUCAAAAGUACGCCCCCAUUCAUGUUGUGCUACUUCUAUUCCUAGAAGUACCACCCAUAUAUAUACAUAUUCCAUGCAUAUUGUGUUGUUUUUACCCUGGAAACACACACCUAUGCUGCUCCCACCUUGAGAGUACGCAUUGCUCUAUUCACAUGCAUAUACUCACAAAAUGUUCUGCUCCUACACUGGGUGUGAACACCAAAAAUAUAUGUCACCAUGCUAUUCUUUUUCCAUCAUCCAAUAAAGCUCCAAUUACUUCAGUUAAUACUCCCUACUGAUACAUAAAUCAAGUGGCUUGGGUAUUCUUAAAAAAAAGAAGAGAGGACAAAUGUCCCAAGAAAGAAAAAAAAUGAUGAAUAAGCAGCCCAAGUACUCCCCAAAGUUUCUAGAGUUUAGAUAAGGGAGGUAUAUAUCCCCAAGGAGCAAAUGUAGAAUUACAUCUCUACUAUUGGCCCUCAUAAUCAUUUCCUCCUCAUCAUCACCAUUCAUAUCACUUAAUUUAUUCCCCUCAUCCACAUGCACAUAUGAAUUGAUUGUAUAACUAAUUUCUCUAGAUCCAUGUCACACCCGGUUUUAAAGAACAAAACCAGGCUAGCCAUAUGUGUGCCCAGGAAGUCCACACAUAAAACAACAGAAAGGAAUAGUAUCAGAAACAAUGUUAUAUAGCGAAAACAUACUUAUAAUUAACACUUACAUCAGAGAAUCGCGAAACGGUAACUAAUCUUUAGGAUCAAUCUUCACAGGGACGGCUGACUGGGGGUAACAUAUGCCUAGUACUUCUUCUAUUCUGAGAACAUCCUUCAUGAUUCCAUCGCUCUUCUGAUCAACUCUUACUAGUAAACUGGAGUGGUGGGAAAUAGCAAGAGUGAGCACAUGUCGUACUCAACAAGUAUAACCAGGGGUUCAUGAGGCUCAAACAGGUGACACUGGUUUGACUGCAUUUAGCUUUUAAUAGUGGAUAGCAUAUUCUUAAUUAAAUAGCAAAUGUCAAGGUAGCACAAAUAAUCCAUUAAUCCCAUGAUCAAGUGUAAGCAUAAUUAAUCCAUAGCAUAAACGAUAAUCAAAUAAACAUAACAACUUAAUAAGCUCAUCGUCGGCGCAGCAAGAACCCCCAAGGCCGCUCAUAACCGUGAGCACGGCUAGUAUACCAGUUUUACACUCUGCAGAGGUUGUACAUCUUUACCCAUGAGUCAUGAUUUACCCUUUCGCCCGAGGUGAUCAGCCUCUUAACCCACUUCCAAGGAAGGUCGGCAGGGAUCACUAUGAAGCCUUUCAAAAGUUCGUCUAACAUGUUAGGGCCGCAAGGUUUCCUUUGCGCGCAGAUAUAGAUACCCCCCUUCCGAAUGGCACAAUGACGCGCAGCCUAUACACGUAGGGACAGGGGUUCGCACUAUACCCAAAACGUUUCAGCCCCUCCACCCUUUCGGGUAACCUCUAACAAGCUAGAAAAGGUCUUCAUACUGAGCUAAAGCCAGAGCCAUUAUAGGCCUCAUGGUGGCACUGUUGUUCCGGUGAUCACUUACAGACAAGAUCUUAUAUAGUUAUUUGUCAUCAUUUAACGUUCAUUGCAUAGCUAUUAAUUAUCUUACAAGAUCAUGGAUUAUAUCAAGCACUAGCAUAUCUACAACCAAUGCAUAUCAAGUAGGUAACAAGGAAUACAGGUAACAAUCAUCUAUGAUUUUGCUAAGAUCGACAAGGUGAUAGCAUGCAUAUGAUAUAUAUGUAUUUAUAAGUGAAUAGGUAGCAAGGAUGAUCCCAAGUUAUACUUGCCUUAAACUUGCUCAAUUCUCACACCAUGAGCCUUCAGUCAUCAUCUUCUGAUCAUCAGCACCCAUAAACAGUUCUCGUCUACUCGUAGCAAGCACCACACAUAGACAAACAUACAAGCAACAAACAAAAAUAACUAAGAACAGUACACCGCACAAGUUUAAGCAACAUACUAUAUGAGAGCUUAUUUAUGAGUAUAUUAUAUGUAGCGUAUUUAAAUUAAUUAUAUUAUAAUUAGAAAUAUAUAAGUUAAUAUUAAUCAAAUUAAUAUUUAUUUAUAAAAAUACGAUGUUUACUUUCAUUGCUUUUAACUAUAAAAUUGGUUACAUAGAUAUUAAUUAAUUUAAUGUUUAGCUAUAUAUAGAAGACAUAUAGAAGACAUGAAGCAAGUUAAAUAUCGUUGCCAUACAUUAGGGUAUAUUGAUUCAGACGCGACGCACAAAGAAUAUAUUGAUUGAAGUGUGGCUAAACGAUUAAGUUAUGAUGAAAAUAAGACAACGACAAUGUUCAUCAUAUUUAACUAUACGGAGAUUCAAGGCAUCCUGAGCAGAUCCACGAUAUAUAUGAAAGAUAUAAUUUCAAGAUUGAGGAAUAAAUAGAGAAUAAUGAUUUAUGAUGUAUGAAUGACAAGGCAUGACAUCAGCACAAUAUUUGAUCAAUAAAAAUAGCGGACAGGAAGAUAUGCUUCUCACCUGAAAGCUAGCGCCAGCAAUUUCCAAACAAGCUGCUCGUCAAACAUCAAGAAGGGUGGUGGCCAGCAUAAGCUAGUAUUAAGCAGCCAAGGAGAAGAUGUUUAUAUUAGUUUCAAUUCCAAGGGCAAAGAAGUACACCCACGGUGAAGAACUGACGACUUACCCCUGCAAGAUUCAGAGCGGAGCAGAACACACACGGCAUGGAUGGCCAGACGCUGGAGCGGCUCUACAACACUAAGCUCGGAGGAUCGGUUAUGCCUGCGAUGAGGUUGCAACAUCACGCAAGCUCCCCUAUGGAAACACCAUGGAUCAGAGAAUUUGCGAGAGGACGACACGGAGAGAGCGAGAUUGUGUUGCUGCAGCAAGCUUCAUGUUCGGCAACGAUAGAACACGAAGGCAGGAAUACAGGAUCGAACAACAAUACAAGAUCACUUGGAACUAGACAAGCCUCACCUCUCCAGCAAAGAACGACAGCACAUGACUUGCUCAUGGCACUCAAUCGAUUUCUCCAUACUUUGAUCGGCGUCGACUUUUCAAUGUCACAGGAACGAAGGGCAGAUGCGCCGGGGACAGGAGAAUUUUGG
rnacentral:lncRNA from 1 species